CAAGAGGGUGAAAAAAUGAAUCUGGAGGUUGGUCAAGUUUUGUGGAUGUUGAUGCAUUCCGGGCUGCUCUACAUGAUUUUGUCAUUUAAGAGGGCUUU